rnacentral:rRNA from 1 species
GCUGGCGGUAGGCUUAACACAUGCAAGUCGAGCGGUAACAGGCAUUUUGAUUCAGCUUGCUGAAUCUCGCGCUGACGAGCGGCGGACGGGUGAGUAACGCGUAGGAAUCUACCUAGUAGAAGGGGAUAGCCCGGGGAAACUCGGAUUAAUACCGUAUACGUCCUUAGGGAGAAAGAGGGCUUAGCUUUGAUGCUCUCGCUAUUAGAUGAGCCUGCGUAAGAUUAGCUUGUUGGUGAGGUAAAGGCUCACCAAGGCUACGAUCUUUAGCUGGUCUGAGAGGACGAUCAGCCACAUUGGGACUGAGACACGGCCCAGACUCCUACGGGAGGCAGCAGUGGGGAAUAUUGGACAAUGGGCGCAAGCCUGAUCCAGCCAUACCGCGUGUGUGAAGAAGGCCUUCGGGUUGUAAAGCACUUUAAGUAAGGAAAAAAAGUAUAUUGUUAAUACCAAUGUACCGUGACAUUACUUACAGAAUAAGGACCGGCUAAUUCCUGCCAGCAGCCGCGGUAAUACGGAAGGUCCAAGCGUUAAUCGGAAUUACUGGGCGUAAAGCGCGCGUAGGUGGUUUAUU